UACGUAGGGGGCUAGCGUUGUCCGGAAUCAUUGGGCGUAAAGAGCGCGUAGGCGGCCCGGUAAGUCCGCUCUGAAAGUCAGAGGCUCAACCUCUGAAUGCGGGUGGAUACUGCCGGGCUAGAGUCCGGAAGAGGCGAGUGGAAUUCCUGGUGUAGCGGUGAAAUGCGCAGAUAUCAGGAGGAACACCGGUGGCGAAGGCGGGUCUCUGGGCCGAUACUGACGCUGAGGAGCGAAAGCGUGGGGAGCGAACAGG
rnacentral:rRNA from 1 species